rnacentral:rRNA from 1 species
UUAACAAGGUUUCCGUAGGUGAACCUGCGGAAGG